UUGGGAGAAAGGUUUGUCAGCUUGAAAAAAAGCUGUACUUUACUCUUCCUUUUUGAGUUGUGUUUCUUUGUGUGAUCUAAUGCUUUUCUCAAUUUGAGAGAGAGGAGAAGAAGAAGAGACCAUCUUUCUUCCCAAAAAAACUAGCAGCGUUGCAGUUUGCUUUUCGGUCCUUGUGUCGGUAAAGCCUUUUUUGUAAUUGGGCAAGUGGAUUUCUUAAUUGCGUAUAGCUGUCUACACGUACACUACCCCACUUUAUACUGCCAGUGUCCGUGAGCCUCACAGCAUUAUUUGCAAUUUUGGUGUUCUCCACACUUUGUUUGAACUAUUUUACCCAAUACUGUUUCUUUCCACCCGAAUAACUGAAAUUGCGUCCUCUGUUAAAGGUCUACAUGCACGGCUUAAGCCGGCUAGGCAAUGGCGUGUCUCCGCCAUCCUCCCCUCGUUUCCGUCAUGCCCGGAAUAAGAACACUGAUCUAUCUGCUAGUUUAACCAGUGGUAAUUGUCAAGUAAAGCUGCAGAAUUUUGCAGAGAAGUUAGGUUUUAUGAUAGUAUCUGCUGUUUAUAGGCGAAGAGGGGUGUUACUUUUUGCUCCCUUGUUGUAUAUAUCUGGAAUGUUGUUAUAUAUGGGUGCUUUAGGCUUUGAUGCAUCUCGUACAAGUGGUGGGGGAACCGGGCUGGAUCCAAUUGGAUCAGUUUACAGGAGCCCACAGGUUUUUGAAAAGCUCUGGCCAUUAAUGGAGGCUGAGAACAAUGGAAGCUCUAAUUUGUUAACAAAUGUGUGGAAUCCUAAGUUGCAUCAAGUUUGGAAGCCUUCUAUUGCCCAUACUGUUUCUCAAGAAGGUUUUGCAGAACUGCCAAAGUCGAAUGGCUACCUCAUAAUUGAAGCAAAUGGUGGAUUGAACCAACAAAGGUUAUCGAUCUGUGAUGCUGUAGCAGUUGCAGGACUACUGAAUGCUACUCUUGUUAUUCCAAUUUUUCAUUUAAAUAGCGUAUGGAGAGACUCUAGCAAGUUCUGUGACAUAUUUGAUGAGGACUUCUUCAUCUAUGCUCUAAGAAAUCAUGUGAAGGUGGUCCGAGAACUCCCUAAAGAGCUGCUGCUGAAGUUUGACAAUAAUAUAAGUAGCAUUGUUAACUUGAGAGUAAAGGCAUGGUCCAGCCCAACCUAUUAUCUUCUAAAGGUCCUGCCAAAGCUGAAGGAGUUAGGGGCUGUGCGCAUUGCACCGUUUUCUAACAGAUUGGCCCAUUCAGUUCCUCCAAAUAUCCAAGGGUUGCGAUGUUUGUGCAAUUUUGAAGCACUUAGGUUUUCCGAACCCAUACGCAUGCUUGCCGCAAAGAUGGUUGAUCGAAUGGUAAAAAAGAGCUCUAAAACUAGUGGAAGAUAUGUUUCGGUGCACAUCCGCUUUGAAGAGGACAUGGUUGCAUUUUCAUGCUGUACUUAUGAUGGCGGGGAAGAAGAAAAACAUGAGAUGGAUAUUGCCCGUGAAAGAAGUUGGAGAGGAAAAUUCAGACGAAGAGGAAGAGUUAUAAGGCCAGGUGCAAACCGAGUCGAUGGCAAGUGCCCGCUAACUCCACUUGAGGUAGGCAUGAUGCUUAGAGGUAUGGGGUUUGACAAUAGCACCUCACUUUAUGUUGCGGCGGGAAAAAUUUAUAAAGCUGAGAAAUAUAUGACCCCACUCAAACGGAUGUUCCCACGGCUGGAAUCAAAGGAUACAUUAGCUUCCACAGAAGAACUUGCUCCAUUUGAGGGACACUCAUCUAGGUUGGCAGCCCUUGAUUAUACAGUCUGUCUUUAUAGUGAAGCUUUUGUCACAACUCAGGGUGGCAACUUUCCUCACUUCUUAGUGGGUCACAGAAGAUAUCUGUAUGAAGGACAUGCAAAGACAAUUAAACCUGAUAAAAGGAAAUUGGUUCUUCUGUUUGACAGCCCAGAUAUCAGAUGGAAUGACUUCAAAAGCCAAUUGCAAGACAUGCUUCAUCAUAGUGAUACAAAGGGGGUCGAGUUAAAGAAACCUAGUAGCUCCCUUUACACAUUCCCAAUGCCAGAUUGCAUGUGUAAGCAUGCAGAUGUCAAAAGUGCAAGUGGUAACAGGAGAAGACUAGUAUGAUACUUUAGGAUACACAAUAGCUGUAUAAAAGCUUAUAUACUGGCAAAUGGAAUGGAAUACUCAAUAGCUAUACAAAAGAUGCUGUAAUUCUGGGCUGUAAUUACAUGGGAUUUUUAUGGCUAAUCCAUGCGGUACAAAGUUGUAACACCCCAGAAAAAUUUUGAGCUAAGACUCAAACCGUUCUUCGUACUGAAUGAGAUUUUUUC